rnacentral:rRNA from 1 species
AGCGAACGCUGGCGGCAGGCUUAACACAUGCAAGUCGAACGGGCACUUCGGUGUCAGUGGCAGACGGGUGAGUAACGCGUGGGAACAUACCUCUUGGUUCGGAACAACACAGGGAAACUUGUGCUAAUACCGGAUAAGCCCUUACGGGAAGAUUUAUCGCCGAGAGAUUGGCCCGCGUCUGAUUAGCUAGUUGGUGUGGUAAAAGCGCACCAAGGCGACGAUCAGUAGCUGGCUGAGAGGAUGAUCAGCCACAUUGGGACUGAGACACGGCCCAAACUACCUACGGGAGGCAGCAGUGGGGGAAUAUUGGACAAUGGGGCGCAAGCCUGAAUCCAGCCAUGCCGCGUGAGUGAUGAAGGCCCUAGGGUUGUAAAGCUCUUUUGUACGGGAAGAUAAUGACGGUACCGUAAGAAUAAG